CUGCCUACGGGACGCAGCAGUGGGGAAUAUUGCACAAUGGGGGAAACCCUGAUGCAGCGACGCCGCGUGAGUGAAGAAGUAAUUCGUUACGUAAAGCUCUAUCAGCAGGGAAGAAAAUGACGGUACCUGAGUAAGAAGCCCCGGCUAACUACGUGCCAGCAGCCGCGGUAAUACGUAGGGAGCGAGCGUUGUCCGGAAUUACUGGGUGUAAAGGGAGCGUAGGCGGGACGGCAAGUCAGAUGUGAAAACUGAGGGCUCAACUUUCAGACUGCAUUUGAAACUGCUGUUCUUGAGUGAAGUAGAGG
rnacentral:rRNA from 1 species